GCCGCAGCGGUAUAGUGUUCUAGAACACUUUAGCAGCGGUCCGCGGCGAGCUUCCAACAUGUUGGAAAUUUUCGCUCUAAUCGCAGCGGCGGGAGCAAUUUUCGGUCAGAACCCGUCGAAAUAUGACCGGGUCGGUCAAGCCGUCGAAAUAGCGUCGACGUUUUUUGGCCGAGUCCCGUGGAAAUAGCAGGAACCAUGCGGGCUGAGCCGUCGAAAUUGCGUCGACGUUUUCGUGCUGGUUGUGUGUUCUGUGGUUGUGGUGGGUCAGCAUGUGUGGAGGUAAUGCCUAGCUGGAGCUGCACGAGCUACAGAACAGUUGCACGCGCUUGGCGUGUCGAAUGCUGGCAGCGGCCGCUGCUCCACUUCAGCCCUAUGAAUAAAGUCGCGAGACUGGCA